rnacentral:rRNA from 1 species
UACGUAGGGUGCAAGCGUUAAUCGGAAUUACUGGGCGUAAAGGGCUCGUAGGCGGCCAACUAAGUCGGACGUGAAAUCCCUCGGCUUAACCGGGGAACUGCGUCCGAUACUGGAUGGCUUGAGUUCGGGAGAGGGAUGCGGAAUUCCAGGUGUAGCGGUGAAAUGCGUAGAUAUCUGGAGGAACACCGGUGGCGAAGGCGGCAUCCUGGACCGACACUGACGCUGAUGAGCGAAAGCCAGGGGAGCAAACGGG